ACGCUCGACACCUACGGGAGGCAGCAGUGAGGAAUAUUGGUCAAUGGACGCAAGUCUGAACCAGCCAUGCCGCGUGCAGGAUGACGGCUCUAUGAGUUGUAAACUGCUUUUGUACGAGGGUAAACGCAGAUACGUGUAUCUGUCUGAAAGUAUCGUACGAAUAAGGAUCGGCUAACUCCGUGCCAUCAGCCGCGGUAAUCUGAGCGGGCUGGCAAGGC
rnacentral:rRNA from 1 species